ensembl:lncRNA
GGCUGGAGUAAAUGGCAAUUGUUGGUAACCCUCAUCAUAGUUUCUUCAGAGACGUUAUCUGAUCCAAACCGUAAAUCAGUUUACAGCAGUGAAGGAUUUCUGGCAUUAGUCGGAAAACGUUCUAAUCAAGGAAUGACGUGUUCCCUGUGUUUUCACAUGGAAACUAAUCAACAUUUCUUUUUGUGUGUAAUUAAGGGAAAUCAAACAUUUUGGGAAAGUGAUUAUUUAUACUUUGAGUACCAGUUGCCAGGUAACUGAAAGUGUACUUUUUGAAUGGAUUAAACAAAGAUAAGAGUCUCUGUCUUUUUAUGAAUCUUGUGCCUCUAAAAGGAAAGAAAAAUCGGACUCGUCAGACGUGAAUCAGCUCUCUGUGCAAGUUUCAAGUUCAUGUUAAAAUCACAAAUGCUCACAUGGAAGUCUUCAGAAAGGAGUUAAUAAAGUUUUGUAUUUUCUAAUUGUUUUUUUUUAUUUUUAGUUCAUUUUGACUUUUUGUUUGUAAUUUGUUUUUAAUUCUUUUUGUGUGGAUUGCAUAUUUCAGAGUCAGGAUUUAGGAAAAUCAGCGUAGAUGUUACAAUAAAAACAGGAAGCAGUUGACUCACAGUCUUAUCAGUAUGUCCAUCAAUGCCUCAUCGGGGUAGUUCUACUAAAAUUUUCACCAGUCCAGUCUACUAAACCAAGUUUUUAUUUUUCCAUCCAUCCAUUUUCUUCCGCUUUAUCCGAGGCCGGGUCGCGGGGGCAGCAGCCCAAGCAGAGAAGCCCAGACCUCCCUCUCCACGGCCACCUCCUCCAGCUUGUCCGGGGGAACGCCAAGGUGUUCCCAGGCCAGCCGAGAGAUAUAAUCUCUCCAGCGUGUCCUGGGUCUCCUCCCGGUGGGACACGCCCGGAACGCCUCGCCCAGGAGGCAUCCUUGACAGAUACCCGAACCACCUCAACUGGCUCCUUUCGAUGUGGAGGAGCAGCGGCUCUACUCUGAGUCCACCCCGACCGGUGAAUUGUGAGCCGGGCGGCAGCCAGGAGCGUAGGUCCUGGCGGACCGAUCCCCAGCUACCAAGACCAAGUUUUUAUUUUUAUUUUAGUUAAAUAAUUUAUUUAUUCACAUCCAGUUUUAUUUCUUAGUUUAGUUUUAGUCAACUAAAG